rnacentral:lncRNA from 1 species
CUGGCCCUGAACCCCUGGGGAUGCAGUCCCGCGGGACCCUGCAGGUGACCGGCUCCGCCCCGCCCUCCUCCUCCUGCCGCCCCACGCUCUGCGCUAGGUAGGGGACCCCCUGGGUGCCCAGAUGCCCAGGCCUCCUGGAGAUUCCUCGCCGCGCCAGCCCUGGUCGCCUCACUACCCGUCCUGCCCCACCGUGCGGAGGGCCCGAUGGGUCGGUGCGCGGGAUUUGAGAGUCAGCAGGACACCGCCCUCAACCCGCGCAGCCACGACUGAACCCCAACGGGACUCCAAGGUCCUGCGAAACGGAGAGCAGCUCUCAGAGGACGAGGGGCUGAGCCCCGAGAGCAGCAGUAGCUCGCCGCCGGGCACCGGGUGGCCGCAGCGGCCGCGGCGACGCGUGGCCACGCCCCCCGAGCUGCGCCCGCCUCAGGUGCCCGCGGUCCGCGCGAUCUGCAGUGGCGGGCGGGGACGCGGGCGGGGACGCUGAGCCCGGUGCGGAGAAAGGCCGGCCCAGUGCGGGGGAGCGGCCUGGGGACACCCCUGGAGCGCCUCAGCACCACGCCCCCGGCAGAAGGGGAGCACCCGCGUGCAAGGCAAGCCCGGGGCUGUGUGGGCUGUAAGAGGGGCAAGGACAAAGGCAGCACCGCACAGGACAACAGAACUGCUCGGCCUGCAGCGACCAGUCCGCCAAGCCGAACCAGAGCCCUGCGGCGGCCAGCACCAGACAACCAGGACGUGACCAGGAACUGCCAGCUUCCCGAAUUCUUGCCCCCAGUGUAGGACCAACGAGAGAGCCAAACCGGCUCCCCAACCAAUCAGGCGAGGUCCCCGCUUCCCGCUAGCCCGCCCCCUUCAGGGUGGGAGCCGGCCCCCUCACUGCGGAGCUUCUCCCCCAGGCCUGCCUUUGAGUCGCUGCCAAGCCCCAGUGAGAGUGGCCACUCCCCCGCCACAGCCGACUCUGAACAGACAGACUUGGCUGGUCCACAUUUGGUGGUCUUUGCUUAUUUUUGCAAUAGUAAAAAUAACUACGAACGUCUUGUAUGUGGCAAGAACUUUAUAAAUAAAGAUAACUUCUAUUUGGG